UUUUUGUGAGCAUUGUUAUUCCAUCGUGCUUGCCUCCUUGCCCAUCAUUUGCCUUGCUUUUCUCAUGUGAGUUUAGUAAUGACAUCCUUGCUAAAAGAUGAAAAGACAAACAUUAUGAUUUGAAAGAUGGCCAAAAGUGUCACCUAUGCUCUAGGCUUAUACGUUUAUACAUGCCAGUUGUAUAAGGGCCUAAAUAAUUAAUCUUCUCUCUCUCUCUCUUCCGCACUAGCAUUCAUGGAAACACAACAAUGAAAGAAACUCGCAUAGAGUGAGAGGAAAGGCAAAGGGUCAGGGAGAAGAAGGAGCCAUGAAUAUCCUUUUUAUUCCAUGUCACUGAGUAACCUUCCGUUUUUAGUUCUGCAAAAUAUGUUUCAUAUUUUAGAGCUGGUUUGGAAUCUAGGAAGCAAACUCCAUUUUUUAAUGUUGUUAUUACACACACACACACAAAUAAAUAUAUAUAUAUAUAUACAUAUGUCUGCAUUUGUACCUUGAGAUCAAUCAGACCAAAGACCAAUCUUUAUGGUUUUACCUCCAGAAUAUGCGCGCUUAGACUUCUUUUUUUCUUUUCUAACCUCUUUUCCCGUUUCAGAAUUUCCCUCUAGCCCUUUGUUGAAAAGGGGAUUGCAUGUAUGAAUGCUGUCUUGUCAAGCACCGCCUUUUGGGAAAUUGAAUCUUUUUGACCUUUGCAAACAUAAAGUAAACCACUUUCUCCCAUGCUUUUAUCCGUGAUAGUUUUUGCUUUAGUCUUUGAUUUUAUAGGAGCCGGGGGAGGGGGGUCUUUAGCCAUGUUGAUGAAUUCCUCUGAAGUUUUUAAUUAUGACCACAAUUUUCCAUGGUGUGAUUGGUAGGUGUACAACUCGACCAAAACUCUGUGAAAACUUGGUGCCAUUGGAUGAGAAGUUGAGGACCUUGUAAGUAUAUAGCUCCACAAAAGGACGUACAAGUGUAACCUAGAGCCCUAGACCUUGAAAAUUACUGAAGGAUCCAAUGAAACUUUGACUUUAGCCCUUUCCCCUCCGCAGUCAUGAGUCAGGACGGAGCAUGUUGUGGAAAUUGGGAAGAUGGUAAAGCUACAAUUUUUUUUCAGGCACUGUACUCUUUCCUGUUACAGACAUGAAGUGCAACGACCCCUCCCCUCUCAACCAAGAUUGUCUCUAUGACUUUCUUGUAAUAUCACUGUUGGAUCUUUUGUUUUUUUUAAUGGGCAGCACGCAUCCUUUUAUAGACUCAUUGACAAAAACUAUAUUGAACAUGUUCAACGCAUCCAAAAACGCUUCGGAAGCGUUUAUUAUGAGAACAUCUCAAAUUAUUUAUUCUUCUAAUCUAAGAACAUUUAAUCUCUAGAAAGUUUUAUUUUUUUUUAUUAUAGAAUAUCAAAUUCUUGAAAAUCUGAUAAGCCUUGAUCUUAUUAAAAGUGGAAAGAUGUUCGCUCAUUAAAAUAAAACACUAAACCCAUUAGUGUAAGGCUGGACUCGUUGCUAUGUCAAUUGCUACAUUGGAAUGAUAUCUGUCUUUCAUGAAAAAAACCAAAUAGUCUAUCUUCGGGGUAAAUUGAUAUUUUCGAGGGAAUUUAUUUGUCAUUUAAAAUUCAUAGGAUGUUCUAUCAACCUUUUUUGCAGUUAAAUAACAUAAAUGUUCUUUAAAAGUAAAAACAAAGUGAAAGGCUAAGAAGAGCUUUUUUGAGAUUACCUUUUUAAAAUAGUAAAAUUACUUCUUUACCUUUCAAGUCAAAAAAUUAAAGAAAAUAUCAAGAGAUAUUUUGAUCUUUUCAUAAUUGUUAUUUUGUUUUUAUCUAUUUGAAUUAGAAACAAAUCAAUAUUUUAACAAAUAAAAAUAUUAAUAAAAAAAGAAUUUGGUGGAUGCACUGGUGAGUGCAAGUCGUUCGCGCUCUUUAAACGACAAGUGUGCAACAUCAUAAGGCAGCCAAAAAAGCUAAACUGCCAUGUUGUUCGAAGAGCGUGUUUGGCAGUGUGAUAGCGGUUGUUUUUCAAAUAGUUUUUCGUGUUGAAAUACAUGCCAAUGAUUUUUUUCAUUUUUUAAAAAUCAUUUUUGACAUCAGCACGUCAAAACGAUCAAAAAAGUACAAACCAAACUCAAUUUUAAUAAAAAAUAAAAAAUAAAAUUUGGGCAAAAUACCGUUUGAAACGCAAUGUCAAACGGUGUCGAAGUGUGUAGUAGCAACGUAGCUAAUAAGACAACACAUGUAGUGAUAUAUAUUCAUGCAGGUUCGGUGAUGAUUGAAUCUUUUUUCUUCCCUCUCUUUUCUCUUCUCACUUUGAAAUCCUUGUUGGUUCAGACACAUUCAUAUUAGUUGUCUUCCCAUUUAUUUUUUUCUUUCAAUUGUGGUCCUCCAUUUGAUUGGUCUUUUUUUGUUUUUGGUUCUUUUUUUUUUUAAUUUCAUUAUUUUCCAUUUGAUUUUAUUUUAUUUUUAAAUCAAAUAAUCAUUCUUUUUAUUGUUAUUUUUUUUAUCCUUUUAUUGAUUUGUUUUUUUUUUUUUAUUAUUUUUCUCAACAUUUUAUUUCAUUCAUUUUUUUUUCAAUUUUAUUCCUCAUUCUUUUAAUUGCUCUUUUUUAACCCUUUUCUUAUUUUAUUUUUUUAAUUUUCCCUCAACAUUUAUUUCAUUUUUUUUAAUUUUAAUCGCUCAUUAUUUUCUUUCAUUAGUUUUUAUACCAGAUUUGAUCAUCAUUGUUUUAAUUGCUAUUUGUUUUUAUUUGUUUUUAUUUUUUAUGAUUGAUAAUUUUGUUCGUGAUUUUUUGUUUUUUUUCCUUCUACUAUAUCAUCCUAAUCUCAUGACUCGGGUCACUAGUUUUUGAAGAUUAGCCUUAUUUAACUUCGGCCUUUUCAUAAAAAAAAUUUCAUGUUUAUCUUUUGGCAUUAGGUUAUUAGGCCUUGAGCUUUUUGAUUUUUUAUUUUCUUUCCUUUCCAUGCGGUUAACUCAGGUUGAAUUAGAUUUUUUUUUAAGUUUUUUUUCAAUUCCAUCCUUUGAUAUUAGGCUACUAGGUUUUGAGCUUUCUGAUUUUUUUUAUGCUUUUCCUUUCUAUGGGGUAAUUCUUGGUCAUUGGUUAGUCAAAGUAACCCAAGGUGACUUGGGUUUUUUUUCAAUGUUUUUUAUUUAUUUAAAUUAAAUCCUAUUUUUCUAGGUUAUUUUUAAAAAAUAUAUUUCUUGAUGAAUAUUGAUAUUAGGAAGAAAAUAGGGAAUUGUUAAAGAAUUUCAUAGAAAAAAUCAAGUUGAAAUUCAAAAUCUGUUUUGAGGUUAAAGAUGGUAGAAUUAUAGUUUAUUCCCUAGUUUUGGAAAAUUAUGAUUUUGCCUCUAAAAUAAAAAAAAAUUAUAGCUUAGUCCAUGGUUUUAAGUGGCAAUUUUUUGGAUAGGUUUUGAUAAAUAAUUGAGAUUUAUUGAGGGUUUAUUAUCAAUUUUAUUUCUUUCAUUUUAAUUUUGAAAUUAAUUUUAUUAUAUGUUGAAAUGAGUUUAUGUACUUAGGAAGCCUCACAUACUGCUUGUUUGUUAAAGAUUGGUUGAACAUUGCGAUUUACAUACUUGUUGCAUAAUUAUGAGUAAUUAAUAUAAAUAUACCUUAUAAGUAUCAUGAAUUUUUUCCAUGCAUUUAUUUUGAAACUAAUAUAUUAAUUGUGAGUAAUCGUUGUAAAUAUAUGUUAAAGAAUGUUUAUAAAGCAUGUGUGUUUGCAUCCUUAUAUGUAUAUGAAAUAUGAUAUAUAUACUUGGUGUGACAAGUUAUGUGUAUGGUGUGAUUUUGGGUUAUAUACAUGGUGUGAUGGGUUAUGAAAUAGUAUGAAAUUUACUAAUUAAAUCACUAUGUGUCUUUGUGUUUGAUUUUAUUAUUCUUGAAUAUAUUUAUAUUAGUUAAUCACUAAGUUGUGGAAACUCAUCCUUUUCCCACAAUUAAUUUAUGUCAAGCUUAUAGAUUUAAAAGCUGGGGAAAAUAACUUGACGACUAAGAGUUAUAUGUCAGUUUGUUGCUCGUUUGCCUUUAGGUCUUUCUUGAAAACUUCCUAUUGUUUUUUCAUAUUGUGAGUUGUGUAUAUAAAUGAUGUAAAGCUCUAUAAUUACAAUAGAUUUCAGUUGUGAAUUGAGUUCUUGUUCAGAGACAUUAAUAUUUUAUAUAUGUAUAUAUGAUUGAUGCGAUUGAGUGUUUUUAUUUAUUUGAAUUUCUUGUUUGAGAAAUGUGAUAGUUUGAGACUUAGUGUGGUCAAAGUAGUCUUUAUAUAUUUAGACGAUGUGCCGGUCAUGUUCUGAUCAGGUGCGAUAGUAAUACAAUUAUUGUGUUUUAGUUCUUGGCUAGAAUAUCAUACUAUGAUUACCAAAUUGGCAAAAACCAAAUCAUGGUAUAAGAUAGAAGUCUAUCAUUUAACCUUCAAUAAAAUAAUAACUUUUGUGUUGGAUGAUUCUUUGAUAGGUACUGAAUUUUUUUUUAUUUUUUUUUGCAUAUGAAUUAAUUUUAGAAAAUAACUAGUGGGUUUGUGCUUAGCAUUAGGGUAUUUGUUAAGAUUUGAAAGUCUAUUUAACUUGUAUAUGCUUAAUGAAUCUCAAUUCCAAAAUUUCCACAUGUAGUACAUAUAUGUAUCAGAGUGCAAGACUCGUUUACAUACUUAUCACAUAUGAUGGUAACUUGAAAUUAAUAUUGAUCCAAUAUUAAUAAUAAUAUACCACAACAUCUUAUCAUAUAAGAAAGUCAAAGUAGAAAUAUUCAUUUAUGAUAAGUUUAUGCUACUGCCAUUCACAAAAACUAGUGAGUCUAUACGGGGAUUGCCAUAAUCUAUCUCCAUUGAGGAUUAUUAGACUUAAUGAAUUGUUAGAUCCAUUUAAGAAGAAGAUAUAAACCCAUGGUCUAAAAAUCAGUAAACCAAAGUUAUUAGGGUAAUCCUCAAUAGAAAAAUUGUAAAUUAAGAUGAAAAAUUGUUGUGAUUUAAAAUGAACAUCCUCAAUGAGUUAACUUCAAUUUUAAAUGAAAUAAAGUAAUAAAAUUAAUAAGCGAAAUGUUAACUAGUGAGAAAUCGUGUAAACUUUCCAAUCGGGUGAAAUGAUUAUUUAAAGAAAAAUAUUUAUUUUUUUAGAUAAUAGUCGAGAUUUUAUUAAACGUUUUGGAUAAAAAGAGAAUAAGCCUAAUAACAACAAUAAGGCAACAAUAUUAGAGAAGAGAAAAUAAAUCAGCCAUAAAAGCAUUAAAUUUGCAAUAAAAAGAAGAAAACAGGACCAGACAAUGGAUAAAAACUAGAAGUCAACUUUUUUUAUCCUAAAAAAAGAUCCCAUCAGAGCUGAUCACUAAAUCCAAACUGAUGGAAGCAGGAGUUAUGCUAUCAAACUUUAACCAUAAAGAGAACAUGUUAAGGAUCAAGUAAAAACAACCUUGAAGAUCUCGAGUAGCAUCAUUGAAAAUUACAUCAUUCCGAUGAAGCAACAGACUCCACACAAUACAAGAUAAGAGAAGCUGCCAUGAAAGAUUCUGAAAUUUUCCUUGCACCAUUGAAGACCAUUGGUAGCAUAUAUCAUCAACAAAAUUUAGAAAAGUGUCACUAAUACCCCCCCCAUAAAUAUAGGAAUUUCAUCCAUAACUUCUAGGAAAAAACACAUUGAAUGAAGAGAUGGCUUGAAGUUUCAAAACUUCUUUUAUAAAAACACACAUCUAGCUUGCUAAAAAGAAAGGAAAUCAUGUUGAAACAAGAAUCACGAGUGAAAAAUUUAUCUCAGACAAGCAACCAAAGAAAUAAUUGAACUUUUAGGAGGGCAUAUUUUAACCAUACUGAAGACUUAAAAGAUUGUACACCACCAUAAAGCAAUUGAUCCAAGAGAUGGGAACUCAAUUUUACUGUAUAAAGAACAUUUAUGUUGAGAGUCCAGAUCUUCAUAUCCGACCUAAAUGGUGCAUUAUCUUUGUUUCUAAUAAGGACAACAAGGAAGAUAACUACUCAAGUUCAAAUUGAAACAUAGAGUGGCGUCAUUGUAAAGACCACAUCCAAUUACAUUUAUCCAGUUACCCAUAUCAACAACCACAUAAAAUUAAGAAGAAAACAAAAUAAAUGACUUGAGGAAGGCUACUUUUAUAGGAAUAUCUCCAAUCUAAUUAUCCUACCAAAACAAUGUUAACCUGCCAUUACCCACAAUAAACUUAUAAUGUUGUGUGAGAGCCUGAUGUUUACCUAUUUGAAAAGUGAAAAUAAUAUCUCUCCAAAUUCUAGAGAGAUGUUUGUUGAAAGUUGGGAUCUCAUUCUCAAAAGUUGGUUUGUAUAGGUUAAUAAUAAUAGAUUUCUGUCGCACGUGUACGGCACCGUGGCGAUCAUCCAUCCUCAAGGAAAAAAUGAAAUAUUCUAUUUCCUGGCAAAUGUGUAGAGACAAGGAAUUCUUGUCUCUUAUCAGUAAAAUAUAGACUAGGAAUUGCCACCUAGUAUUUUGGUUACUAUGAACCCUAACUGGUCUCAAAGAUCGGGUACGAAGACUGGUUGCGUAAAGGGAAGGUAUUAGCACCCAACUACGCCCUACUUAAGGUAGGCUGCAUUGUUUUAAUGUUUGAUAAAAUCUAAGGUCUUGUUGUGGUUUCUAAUUGUUGGUCCUAUCUGUUGAAGAUUUAAGAAAAGUCCUACUCUGUAAGGAGGUUCUUAUCUUAAUGGGUAAAACCUAACUGUUCUAUGUUGUCAAUUAAAACAAUAUCACUUUAAUAUCAAGAAUACGUUUUACAUAUAAAUUCAUAAUCCUGAUAUUAAAACAAAACAAAAUAAUAUUUUUUUUUUUGAAAUUUUAGUCAAUGUUCUCUUGACUUUAAUAAACUGGUUAUUAAAGCUAAAAAUACAAGCUAAAACAUUAUUUUUUUUGUAUGAAAAAUACAAUAUGAUUUUUAGCUUUGAGACACUUGGCCGUAUGCACAAAAAUAUUUUUCUCUUUUUUCAAAUUAUUUUGUAUUUUUGAAAGUUUUGACAAAAACCGGGUAUAUUAAUACCGGAUUUUGUAUUUUUAAUGACAUAAAAAUAUAUUCCGAUACUAAUAAAAAGACAUAAAAAUACACGUGGUAAUAGUAAAAAAAAAAAAACUGGCUCAUGCCUGGCCCACCCUUUCUGGGCUGGAUCCGACCCAUCUACUAUGGGCUGGCUGAUGUCCCGGCCCAGACCCAGAUGGGUGGUUACUGUGCAUCAGCACAGUAACCAACCCAUGCUGCAUUUUACAGCAGAAUAUGAAAUCUUCACGUUCUGCAUGUAAAAAUACAGGCGACACCCGACAAGAAAAAAAACAGUGAGGAGGAGGCUUACCUGCGGUAGCUCACGGUGCUUCUGCGAUUGUGGUGGUGGAAACGACAGUGCUAGUGGUGGCUGGGGGCACGAUGGACGGCGGUGACACUGGCAGCCUACCCCUGUUUUCUCUUCUUCUGUGCAGAGGCGAGAGCCUUUUUUUCUUUUCUUUUCUUUUCUUUUCUUCUUCUUCUCGACAAGCUGUUGCUGCUGGUGGCUAUGGAGAAGAGGUGCAACGGUGGCGCUGCUGGGUUGAAGGUGACCGGUGGUGGUUCUUCUUCGUCUCCCUCUAUUUCCUCUUUUUCUCUCAGUUUGUUUUUUGUUUUUUCGGUCUCCAGACAUUCUCUGCUCUCUCUUCUCGGACUUUUCUCCCUCUCUCUUUUUUUUUAGGUUCCCCCUCCCUUGUUUUUAUAGGCAAAAACAGGGGAAGGAGACGUGGUUGGGGCGGCCACUGUGCUGCCGCACGAAACCACCCAAAGGGUACGUCCCCUCUAUUCUUCCACCACGUGGCAAGCAAGUGGGUUAUCAGCAUCUUUUUGAGAGAGAGCUAGUGGUGGAAUAGAGAGAAAAAAUCUUGUUCUUCUUCCCAUGCUUCACGCGUCUAGGGGAACAAAAAUACAUGGGUGCCGUUCAAAACGACACCGUUUUAAGCUUCUUUUUUUUUUUAACAGUGCAUGAAACGAUGUCGUUUUUCCCAAAACGCGUCGUUUCAUUUAAAUGCAUUUUGGCGCCAAAACGCAUCAGCUUCAUAAUCAAGCCUUCAAUUGGCGCGCGUUUUGUAUUUUGGUUCUUGGUUUUGGAUUUCUUCAAUUAAGUCCCUAAUUGGCCAUAAAACUUCAAUAUUUAUGCAAUUAAGCCUCUGAUUUGAUCAAAUUAACUUCAAAAAAUUAUAAUUUGACCACAGAACUUUAAUUUCUUCCAAUGAAAGCCCAAAUUAACUCCAAAAUUAAUUUUUCUUGCAAUCAAACUCUCCAUAAAUUCAAUUAAAUCUUCAAUAAAAUUUAAUUGAGUCUAUAAACAUCUGAUUUUGGACUUUUCUUCCUCAUAUUAAAUUUUCUUUAUCAACAGGGUUAUCAUUAGUCAAUGAUAUACCGUCAAAUUUUAAUUUUUAUAUUUUUGAACAUCCUCAAUCAAUUUUUGAGCAUUUUUAGGACACUCUGACAUCCUAUUCUCAUUGUUAUAUUUUUUUGAUAAUAUUUUUUUUAUUUUUUUUGUAUUUUAUUAUUUUUUGGGCGGGGAUCAAAAAUGGGUUACAACAAUUUUCAUAGACCAGGGCCCGAAGAAAAAGGUCUUGAUAUCCAUUUAAAUAACAUAGCUAUAUUUGUUUACAUAAAGGAGCAUAUACCAAUACUUCUUUGCUUCUUAUCAUGCAUUACCAAUCUUUAUUAGACCUUACAAAAAGAUAUAUGCUUAAUAGAGCCACACAAUAAGAAACGUCAUUGAAUAAAGGUAAGUAAUCUACAAACUCCCUUCAGCAUCAAGAAGACUGACAUGAAAACAUUGACAGUGAGUUGAGAACACUCUUAAUUAGGCAUAUACUCCCAUCCAUGUUUAAAAGGCUACCCUUCCACUGACUUAGUCUUCGAUAAAAUUUGUCUAUAACUGGCUUUCACGUGGAGAUGCAAUUUGGAUUUGCAGCCAAUGACAUACCAAUAUAAAUGCACGGAAAAGAGUCAGUCAUGCAAAAAAUAGUUGAAGCCAGGCUCAUGCAAAAACGAUCUUCCACAUUGGCUUUGAUAAUAGAGUUAUUAUGGAAGUUAAUGUGAAGACCUGAACUUAAAGCAAACCAUCUCAUAAUUCUUUUGACUUGAAGAAAUUGAUCAAUCUAUGUUGGUGUUAUAUCCUAUAGGUUAUUCUCCAAAUUCAUCUUUUUUAUUUCCUUUUCAAAAUUAAAUUAAAAUAAUAAAAUAAUAAUAGCAAGAAAACUAACAUUUUGGUAAAAGUAAGCUGGGAGGAUUUUAAAUGUAAAAAAAUCAAGUUAUAAUUUUGGAUGAAAUAGAGAGUGUAAUUGUAUUCCAUUAUUUCCAAAACUAGAGACACAAUGUAAAUUCAUGAUCAAAUUAAAUCAUUAUUAGAUGAAUCUAUAUAAAAAUUAACUCUAGGACAUAAUUAGAUUUUUAAUAUGCCAUUUUGAUUUAAUAAUAAGUAAAUUUAAAGUUUAAUCAUGUUUAAGAAUUAAUUUGGAUCCGAUUGAAGAAUUUAGUUAGGUGUUAGGGGUUUAAUUGCAGCGUUUUUUUUUUUCAUGAAUGCUUAUUCGAUAAUUUUGAACCGGGUUUAAAUGGAAUAAUUCAGAACUUGGUUAGCUGUGGAAAAAUAUCUCGAAUAUGCUCAUAAAUUAUUUCUUUUAUUUCAAUUAGGUCCCUUUCCUUUGUAAUUCAACUCUUUCAAUAUAAUACACUUCUUUCAAUUACAUCCCUUAGUUUCACAAUUAGGAACACAAACUACCCAACUUCUUAUAGUUAAGCCCUUUCAGAGUUUUGAGUUGGCUACAAUCACUAUCCAAAACUCAAUUACCCCUUAAAAUAAUAUCAUCAAAGCUUACAAAACUCGCUACAUGAUUCUCUCACCAGAAAACCUUAAUUCAGGAGCUCAUGUAAGACUGCCAAACAAGCCACAAUGCUGCUACAAAAGGGAUAUUCUAUGUUGCAAACUUUUCAAGGAUGUCUCAACAGGCAACACUAUAAAUUUAUCGUACAAGUCUUUCAUGCCGUAAAAUAAAACUUCUCUUUCUCUAGUUUAUAUAAAUAUUGUUAGGCACAGGGAAAGAAAUUCCAUCUAAUAAGGAAUUCUAGACAAGUAGGAAAAUCUAAAUACUGCUUUAUUGAAAUCUAAAAUGUUACUGUUGCGGUGAAAGUAAGAACACUACUGAUAGUAAAAUAUAGCUGAAGUUCUUAUGCGAAUAAUCAAUUAAAUGUUCAAAACUAAAAAUAGCCAUCUCAUACGUCUAAAAAUAGCUGAAGUCCAGGCUCAAAGUUAGCCUAAAGAGCUAUCAUAAAAGAAAAACAGCAGCGGGCGGUCUAAGGAGUUAGAAGGAUUCUCUUAAUACAAGGGAAGAAAUGAAUAGCAACAAGAAACAAACAAACAAAGACGUCUCCCUGUACUUGUUAUUUUCGCUAAUUACAAUGCUACAGCCUAUUGUUAACAGGUUUUUAGGUGCUAAAAAAAUCCUCUUCAGUACGUGAUCAUACAAUAUUAAUUAAAAUAUUUAGGAAUCAAGAUAUAUAUAUAUAUAUAUAUAUAUAUAUAUAUAUAUAUAUAGGAGAAUGUGUCCAGGAAAAAAAAAUUCCAAAUGAACAUUUACCCUCGUAAGCUUUUUGUUUGUUUGUCUGUUUGUCACUUUACAGAGAGUAUGACUGUAUCAGUAUCUCCCGCUCUUUCUCGAUCCAGACACCAAAUUGACUUGAGUAUCAAAAAGCUGCCCUCUAAAGUAUAAUAAAUUUUCAUCAACCCUUUUCUUUCCCCCCGCCACUUUCAACCACUCCUCCAAUCGACACACCACGACGACGACCAUGCAUUUUUAAAGAGACAUGGCACGUGAAAAUGCAUUUUCAGCUUGAGAAGUUGGGAGUGGACUCAGAUGGGGUGGAGAGCAAAUUAAGAGUUUAGAAAAUUAAUAUUGUUGGGUUUUAUUGGUAGCUAGUAUUUUGAUUGAUAGAUUAAUAAUUAUUAUAUGAUCGAAAGGGUAGAGUCGACAACCUGGGUUGGAGAUGCAGGAUUUGACAUUUACGUGUUGUUUCUAUCGAGCACACUUCUCUCUCUCUCUCUCUCUAUAUAUAUAUAUAUAUAUAGAGAGAGAGAGAGAGAGAGAGACACACACACACACACAAUUUUCAAGACUGUGAAAGCGUUGAAAUAUGUAGCCAGUAUCGUCCUCUCCGUUUGUCACUCUGAUGUACAGUAUUUGGAAAGAUAGAGAGGCAUGGACCAGAUGGUGGUGGAGCCUUUGGUUGUGUUAUAGAGGUGAUAGCAUGGCAGCACUUCUUACGGGCACCUUCCGACCCAACCUCACAUGAAAAAAAAAAAACAAAAAAAUUCCCUGAAUGUGGCUGUACAGGUACCUCUAAUAAUUCCAUAAUCGUUAAGGUUAAUUAAUUGCGAUUAAUAAUGUCUAUAAUCAAAUAGUCACAGACCAUUGUUUCAAAAAACUGAUGAAAACAAGUGCCCGCACCCCUGCCUUACCACGACUCAAGGCAGCUGUGAGCCUGUGAGGAGUAAAGCACCAGAAUUUUAAAAAGAAAACAGCUAGCAUUUCGAGAUAAUUGUAUUUGAAAAAGAAAGAAUGUGACUCUGAUUCUUCCACGCCAUGGCUUAAUUAUACUAUUUUCAAUGACUUAAUUCUGUAGGUGUCAAAUGUCAAGAAUCCCACUGUUUGAUUUACCGAUUGAAAGUCUUGUCUGAUAGAAUGCUAAUUAAUAUGUUUGUGUUGUGAAACACGCGGAAAAUUUGCAUGCAGUAGCCUAACAAAUCUUCAUUUGACUAUUAACAGUGUUGGAUCCAGUUUUAUUGUCAUUGAAAAAAUUGAUAAGUGACGGACAUUUUAGGUAAGGCAUCUUUCAAUGUUGUCGAUUUAACAUAUACUGGCAAUUUAUUACAGCAACUACGAGCACCAUGCAAUUAAUUAGAACCUCACGAUCCAUUCCACUAAUAAUUUCAAACCAGGCGAGAGGCAUAUCAAAGAGAGAGAGAGGAGAGAAUGGACCCAUGAAUUUUUAAGGCGAUGUGUAUAGGAAGAUGAUGGUUGUGCCAAGUCUCUAUCGGGACACCGAGAAAGUAGAUGACAGUUUUUAAUAAGCCAAAUAAAUCUUUAUCUCAAGGUCACCUAUUGUUUCCUUCCGUCAACAACAAUAAUUUUAAUCGAGUAAUAUUACAUUUCUAUCACUUUGUUUGGUUUUUUCAAGAGUAAGUAGCAAGGUCAACUUGGAUCCAAGAGCAUGAAAAGCUGUUGUGGUAAAUAAAUUAAAUAUUCAAUCAUAAGCUAGGAUGCUGUAUGAUGAAUCCCCCAUGCCAUAUUCUUACAAAACAUAAAAAAAAAAAAAAACAGAGAGAUUAACGCGAAUCAUGUUAACAAUCUUUGAUCCUUAAUUCUAUCGCAUAUCAUAGAAAACAAGUGAGUUUUGAGCGUCAAACAAGCUCACAGUAUGUCACAUCGAAUAAGUGCUCAAAAAACAGUUUCUCACCGAAUGAAAACGACAGAGUAAUUAAGUUUUACAUGGUUCUCUCUCAUCCGAGUUAGCGAAGCUUACCACUUUGCACAAAACUCAAAACUUCGCAAGUACUUCAUUUUGUCAAAUGUAUUUUGCAUUUUUUUUUCUAUAAUUCAAUGGAAAAUUUUAAAAAAGUCCUCACACAGCUGAAUAUCUUGUUAACAAGGGAGAUAACUUAUAUUUCUGAAGUUGAAAGAGAAAAUUGGAUUUAGUUAUGAAACAACAGAGAAGGAGAGAACAAAACUACAUUCAACAAUAAAGAACACUCCAUGGUUUUAGCUUCAAUGUAAAUCCAAGAAGAAAAAAAGAAGAAAUUGAAGCAACAACAAGGAAGGUAAAAAGGCAAAGUGAAAAGGAAGCGUGGACCCCUGACUCUAUCUGUCGGUCAUCGCCUCGGAUUUCUCGCCUCUGCCUAAAAAGUGACACGGCAGACGAGGGUCCAUUCUUUCAUGCCCAAUUUUUAUUUUUUUUAAUUCUUCUACUUAGGGGUUACUAUACUCGACUGUACCGUUUAAUUUUCUCAUUCCAAUCGCAAUUAAUUGAUUCGAAAAAGUGUAGAUAUAUAUAUUAAAUGGGCCUUUCCAUUAUCGGGCAGCUCAAUAACUCAACCACUCCUCUGACCCAAUUCUAUGCCUCCUUUACUUUGAUUCCAUUACUAUCUCCUUAUCAAUUAUUUUAUAAUCAUACAAUGGGUUUUCUUAGCAUAGUACACACCAUUCUACGGUCCAUAAUGGGUAUUUAAUUUCUAGGUUACAUAGUACAGUAGACAGCAAAGUUACAGUCAACAGUGUUCGUGUUUGAUGACACCAUCCAACCAUCAUCUAAUGGUGGGUUUCACUUGGGUACGUACAUGUUCAAUCUCUUACGAGGUAUUGUUACCUUCACAGUAAUCCAACGGUGGAUAAUGGUUUCAAGAGCAGAGACAUGUUUCAUGGAGUCCACCCCUCUAUUUUAGUAGUGGUGGUAUGAUAUGUAUGAACAUGAAAGUGAAUGGGUUUUUAUUAUAAUAGUAUUUGAUUUGUUUUUAUAGAGAUGAUGAGAGGGAGGGAGGGAGAGAGAGAAAGGUGCAUGGGGUCGUGGUCAUUUCUGGAACUGAGAAACCCCAGCUGGUAGGGGCGGGUCUGCACCUAUCUUUUGUCUUUUUUAACGUUGGCUUUCCACUCCUUUUACUCUUCUUAAUAUAGCCCCCAUACCAUAUCAUUCUCUUCAUCAUCACCAAUCUUUCUCUCUCUCACCAACCCCCUUCAAGAUAGGCGAGACUCUUGGGGGAUAAAGAGAAUAGUUUGAGAAUCACCGGCACGCACACACACGAAAUCGAAUUCCAUAUAUCUCCCUCUUUCACUUGGAAGAAUUGAUCAAGAUUUGCUAACAAAGGUAGCUUCUUUUUUGAGGGGAAUGUUGUCUGGCUCGAGGACUUUUUCUUGAUCAAUCUAAUCGAACUUUCUACCUGUAGAUCUAGUAUCUUAUUUAAGAUUGAUCACGUAUUAGGGUUGUCGGACCAGGCUUCAUUCCCCCCAAUCAUUGCUUCCAUCCCAAGGGCUUGAUCAUGGGCUGUUGCGUGUACAGGUUUGAUUCUUAAUCAUCCUCUUUUUUUUCUUUAAUUGGUUUUGUAUAUCUUAAUCUUGCUCGGGGUGAAAAAUCUGGGAGUUUUUUAAUCAUGGGUUUCUUCAUUUUUUUUUGGGUUUCUUCAUUUUAGUCUUUAGGGUUGUUGGUAUAUAUGCAGAUUGGUGUAAUCAUGAUGUGUUUUGACCAUGCUGAGAACUAAGAAGCUUCAUCAUUACACUUUUUCUGGUUUUCUUUUUCUCUGAUCAUGUGAUGAUGGUGUUUUUUCUGUCAGUCUACAACGAUAGCUCAUCAUUACUAGGCAGAUUUUUCCCAUCAUAGCUUCAUCAUGAUCUGAUCUGUCUGUUGGUGCUAUUUUCAGAUCUGGCUUUGAACUUUUGGUGGAAAUGAUACUUCUAUUCUUCGCUCUUCUUACUCGUUUUGUUUUCUAGUGUCUCAUGCUGCAGUUGUUUCUGAGGUUUUGCUCUGAUCUCCAAAUCAAUAUUUUACAUAGAAAAUGUACAAGCAAGAAAGUGAUGCGUUUUCUGUCAUUGUUUGAAGUGUCUCUCGAUUCUCUAUUGAAAGAGAUAGAAAACUUGGUGGUACUACAAGAAGACGUACUUGCAUUUUGGAUACAACAUUUUGGCUCAGAUAUUUAAAGUUUUCUAUAGUCGUGCCCUUGGUUUCUUUGCUUGCUCUUUCAGAAGAGCUUUGCUGUUUUCUAAAACAUGGGUAACUUCCUCUGCAUGCCUGCCUGCCUGCUUAUGAAGUGUGCUAUAUUCUACCUGUUUCUUGGCCUCUUUUCCUUUGGGUAAACAUUAUUAUUAUUAUUAUUAUGCUUUCCCUUGAACUGCUGUUUAUAUGCCAGGAAUAUUUUAAAUUGAGAACAAUUAUGUUAUUGCCAGGAGUUUGUGCCCGCGUGUUUUGUGUCACUCUCACAUUACAGGAAACAACCUGUCUUGGCAAAGCUAUCUCUCAAUUACAUUUCGAAUUCUUUUCGAACAAGAGAUACUGUUGUGAACUCCUCAGUUAAAGCCUACUGGUCUAAAGUAACAAGUUCCCAUUCCUGAUAGCUCACAAAAUCCUCUUGUUUCUUAAUUUUAACUCUACUAGCUAGAAAGGAAUGGAUAAUGAUUCUUGUUUCGCCAUUUGAUUAUAUAUGCCACCCGUUGAAUAGCAGGUUCAUAAAGACUCCCCGCAAUGUGGAAUUUGGAUGUCAUACUUUUCCAGCGUAAGGGUUGAUUGCUUUCUAGAGGAGCAGUAUGCAGGUAAAACCUCUUGUUUUCAGUGAGCUUUUUUCUAUUUCCUGUGUAGCUAUUGUAUUGCUAAGGCCAAGGGAUGACAUGGGUGUUGAAUUUUUGUGAGCAUUGUUAUUCCAUCGUGCUUGCCUCCUUGCCCAUCAUUUGCCUUGCUUUUCUCAUGUGAGUUUAGUAAUGACAUCCUUGCUAAAAGAUGAAAAGACAAACAUUAUGAUUUGAAAGAUGGCCAAAAGUGUCACCUAUGCUCUAGGCUUAUACGUUUAUACAUGCCAGUUGUAUAAGGACCUAAAUAAUUAAUCUUCUCUCUCUCUCUUCCGCACUACCAUUCAUGGAAAUACAACAAUGAAAGAAACUCGCAUUGAGUGAGAGGAAAGGCAAAGGGUCAGGGAGAAGAAGGAGCCAUGAAUAUCCUUUUUAUUCCAUGUCACUGAGUAACCUAGCGUUUUUAGUUCUGCAAAAUAUGUUUCAUAUUUUAGAGCUGGUUUGGAAUCUAGGAAGCAAACUCCAUUUUUUAAUGUUGUUAUUACACACACACACAAAUAUAUAUAUAUAUAUAUAUAUAUAUAUAUAUAUGUCUGCAUUUGUACCUUGAGUUCAAUCAGACCAAAGACCAAUCUUUAUGGUUUUACCUCCAGAAUAUGGGCGCUUAGACUUCUUUUUUUUUCUUUUCUACCUUCUUUUCCCGUUUCAGAAUUUCCCUCUAGCCCUUUGUUGAAAAGGGAAUUGCAUGUAUGAAUGCUGUCUCGUAAAGCUCCGCCUUUUGGGAAAUUGAAUCUUUUUGACCUUUGCAAACAUAAAGUAAACCACUUUCUCCCAUGCUUUUAUCCGUGAUAUUUUUUGCUUUAAUCUUUGAUUUUGUAGGAGCCGGGGGAGGGGGGUCCUUGGCCAUGUUGAUGAAUUCCUAUGAAGGUUUUAAUUAUGACCACAAUUUUCCAUGGUGUGAUUGGUAUGUCUACAACUUGACCAAAACUCUGUGAAAACUUGGUGCCAUUGGAUGAGAAGUUGAGGACCUUGUAAGUAUAUAGCUCCACAAAAUUUACGUACAAGUGUAACCUAGAGCCCUAGACCUUGAAAAUUACUGAAGGAUCCAAUGAAACUUUGACUUUCGCCCUUUCCCCUCCGCAGUCAUGAGUCAGGACGGAGCAUGUUGUGGAAAUUGGGAAGAUGGUAAAGCUACAACUUUUUUCAGGCACUGUAAUCUU
rnacentral:lncRNA from 1 species